rnacentral:tRNA from 1 species
GGGUGGUUAGUUCAGCUGGUAGAGCGCCACGUUGACAUCGUGGAGGUCGUUGGUUCGAGUCCAAUACCACCCACCA